rnacentral:rRNA from 1 species
UGGGUGACCUGCCCUCAGCUCUGGGAUAAGCCCGGGAAACUGGGUCUAAUACCGGAUAUGACCUCUCAUCGCAUGGUGAGGGGUGGAAAGUUUUUCGGCUGGGGAUGGGCCCGCGGCCUAUCAGCUUGUUGGUGGGGUGAUGGCCUACCAAGGCGACGACGGGUAGCCGGCCUGAGAGGGCGACCGGCCACACUGGGAUUGAGACACGGCCCAGACCUCCUACGGGAG